rnacentral:misc_RNA from 1 species
CUGCUAAGUGUUGACCCGUUGACAUCUGACCUGCUGACCUCUGACCUGCGCAUACUCAAAACAGUCCGCCAGUCGGCUUUCAUUGUUAGUUUGUAUUUGCUGUUCGCCUUAGCAGCAAGCAGCUAUGUUGAGAGCAGUUAUAAGUUGGAUAGACAGAUAGCACCAUGCUUGCGACAUAUAUUUCAAAUGGGGCAGACAGAACGAAAGAAAACUGACGUUUGAAAACGAUUAAAAAGAAAAAAAAAAGGAGUUAAAAACAAUAUUCAUAUAUUUAUACAUACAUCCAUACACACAUCCACACACACACACAUUUUAUAUAUAUAUAUAUAUAAUAUAUAUAGAUAAAUAAAUACAGCAUUUUUUUUGGAUUUAUCAUUUUCUCUGAAUAUAUAUACAUAUAUUUAUAUGUAUAAUCCAUAAGUUAAUUCGAAUAUUGGAGCAUACGAUCUCAAAAUCUAAGCCUGAUUUCAAAUCAAGCACAUUUUCACCCAAAACGACCAAGAUAUAAACGAAAAAAAAAAAAUUAAGAAAAGGGAAAAACCAACAAACGAAGAGAAGAGACAAGUAUAAGAAGUAGUCAAAAUGAAUAGUUCUGUGAACGGUUUCAGUACGGAAGAUGACAGCCGGAGCGGGCAUGAUCAGAUCUGCAGCCUUAUAGAUGAUGGUGAGCGCUGCAGGCGUCCAGCAGGUAAUGCGAGUUAUAGCAAACGGAUACAGAAGACAGUGCAACAGAAAAAAUUAAAACUGACGAGGGAUGAUUGUGUUUCUCAUAUCUACAUUUGCGACUAUCAUAAAAAUGUCAUUCACAAUGUUCGCUCAAAGCGGAAGAGGAAAGAUAGCGAAGACGAUCGUGGAUCACUAGAGGGAGACGAAGAGAUACCAGAGAUUGACUUUUUCCAAAUGCCUGUAAACACACUCCGUCGAUACAGACGACAUUAUAAGUUACCUACACGGCCCGGAACUAAUAAGGCCCAGUUAGCUGAGAGUGUGGCUCGGCACUUUAAAACAAUUCCCGUGGCAGAGAAAGAAACUUUGACAUUCUUCAUUUACAUGACAAAGAAUUUCAAAAGCAGAUUUGACCAGAAACACAUCGAAACAGCUCCAAGCUAGGGGACUAUAGAACACAUCUGUGUCAUUCAUUAUUAUUAUUAUUAUUAUUAUUAUUAUUAUUAUUAUUAUUAUUAUUAUUUACUACUAAUACAACUAUAAGUGCUACUACAAGUACUAUUAUUAUUUUUAUUAUUUUCAUUUUCGUUGUUAUUUUUUCUUAUGAAGGAUGGAAGUUUGAGAAUGAGAUAAAACCAAUCCAAGACCAGUGCUUUUUGAUGGGUGUUGUUGGUGGUGGUGGUGGUCGUGGUGUUGGGGCAGUGGUUGUUAUGAUGGUGAGAGAAAUGAUAAUAUUGAUUAUAAUGAUGAUAAUAAUAAUAAUAAUGGGAGGAUGGACAUGAAGAAUCUGUUCUUCUUGCUUUUCUUCUAAACACAGCCAUGCCACACGCCCUUCCCUACUCCACCCAUCCCUCUUCCUACAUUUUUAAAAAAAAUAUAAAACACAAAAAUAAGACAACAACAAAAGUUUGAAUGACUAAAAAAAAAAACUAAGAAAAGGAAAAAAAACAUACAUUGUAAAAGAAGACUUGUGGAGUUUGGUUAAUGGAACAAUAACAACAAUUACAAUUGUACACACACAAAGACAAAAAUACCUUUAAAAAAUCGGAAAAAGUGAAAACAGUAAAGAAAAUAAAUGUCACCAUUUGGAAAAGACUAUGUAUACAAAGACACUUUGUGCCUGCUUUUCAGUUACUGAAGACGAUUUAUGCAUACAUUUGCUGGACAUGAUAUAUAUAUAAUGAAACAAAUAUCAAAAGAAAAUCUCUUCCCUCAUCUUACCUUUCCCUGACUCCUGGUGACAUAGCUCACAUACACAUAAAUACUGAUGACGAAUGAAAAAAAACAAAAACAAAAAAUAAACAUUAAGUAACAGAGAUGGGUGUGAGUGUUCAGUGUGAGAAAAUUCAUGUAAAUGUCACAUUCUAAUGAAAUUUAAGAUUUCUUUUUCAUCUUGA